AUAGUUUUCAACCGAAACAAAUAUACUCUAAUAUAUUGUAAUCAUUCGUUAUAUUCUUUGAGCUCACUUGUUAUAAUAUAUUGUAAAAAUACUCCAAAAAGUCAAUCACAAAUUAUAUGUAAGAUUAGACAAUGAACAAAAGAUGGAAUGAUAUAUUGUGCUAUAAUCACUUUUUAUAAAAGACACGAACAAAAUUAAUGGAAAUGUGAGUUCUUUGAAGGGCUCACAUUUUUUUAAUCCGACUUCUA
rnacentral:lncRNA from 1 species